UACGGGGGGAGCAAGCGUUGUUCGGAUUUACUGGGCGUAAAGGGCGCGUAGGCGGCCUCUGCAAGUCAGUUGUGAAAUCUCCGGGCUUAACUCGGAACGGCCAAGUGAUACUGUCGUGCUAGAGUGCAGAAGGGGCAAUCGGAAUUCUUGGUGUAGCGGUGAAAUGCGUAGAUAUCAAGAGGAACACCUGAGGUGAAGACGGGUUGCUGGGCUGACACUGACGCUGAAGCGCGAAAGCUAGGGGAGCAAACGGG
rnacentral:rRNA from 1 species